rnacentral:rRNA from 1 species
AGAAUCAACGCUGGCGGCGUGCCUCAGACAUGCAAGUCGAACGCGAAAGUCCCCUUCGGGGGGCAAGUAGAGUGGCGCACGGGUGAGUAACACGUAGGUAAUCUACCUUUGGAUGGGGAAUAACAACCGGAAACGGUUGCUAAUACCGCAUAAUGCAGCGGCACCUAAUGGUGACAGUUGUUAAAGCGGGGGAUCGAAAGACCUCGCGUCUAAAGAGGAGCCUGCGGCGGAUUAGCUAGUUGGUAAGGUAAUGGCUUACCAAGGCGACGAUCCGUAACC